UGCCAGACUCCUACGGGAGGCAGCAGUGGGGAAUAUUGCACAAUGGGGGAAACCCUGAUGCAGCGACGCCGCGUGAGCGAUGAAGUAUUUCGGUAUGUAAAGCUCUAUCAGCAGGGAAGAAAAUGACGGUACCUGACUAAGAAGCCCCGGCUAACUACGUGCCAGCAGCCGCGGUAAUACGUAGGGGGCAAGCGUUAUCUGGAUUUACUGGGUGUAAAGGGAGCGUAGACGGCUGUGCAAGCCAGAUGUGAAAGCCCGGGGCUCAACCCCGGGACUGCAUUUGGAACUGUGUGGCUGGAGUGUCGGAGAGGCAGGCGGAAUUCCUAGUGUAGCGGUGAAAUGCGUAGAUAUUAGGAGGAACACCAGUGGCGAAGGCGGCCUGCUGGACGAUGACUGACGUUGAGGCUCGAAAGCGUGGGGAGCAAACAGGAUUAGAUACCCCAGUACAC
rnacentral:rRNA from 1 species